rnacentral:tRNA from 1 species
AGGGGCGUAGCUCAAUUGGUAGAGUACUGGUUUCCAAAACCAGGUGUUGUGAGUUCGAGUCCCACCGCCCCUG